GCCUUGGUAGCUCAGUUGGUAGGGCAUGAGGCUCUUAAUCUUAGGGUCGUGGGUUCAAGCCCCACAUCGGGCA